rnacentral:misc_RNA from 1 species
UGCAGCUCUCUUUACCACCUGUGACGUUACACUUACAAGUCAAUGCAAACUUGGUUUAUCUGGCAAUAAAGAUGAAUAUAAACUCCAUAUUCUAUAAAUAAGCAGUUGUUAUUAAUAAAAGAAAAGGACACCAACACAAAGCCAAACAUUUACAUGAACUUCAAUUUAAGUAGAUGUCAGAUAUAUUCAAAACAUAAAUUCAUUAUUCUUUCCUACACUUUCUCGCAACCAAACAGCAUUAGAAAAACAAUCAAACAAAUAUAUAAGGAAACUGCGGAAUCAACCGAAAAAAAUAAAAAAUCCCAAACAAGCAGCAAAACUCCAAUUUGAAUUGACAUUAAAAAAAAUGAGGAUUAAAGGAUUCAAAUCGUGAUACUAAAAUACCUGACCAGUACGCCCAAGAGUAAUAGUGAC